rnacentral:rRNA from 1 species
AUGAACGCUGGCGGCGUGCUUAACACAUGCAAGUCGAACGGUGAAGCCCCGCUUGCGGGGUGGAUCAGUGGCGAACGGGUGAGUAACACGUGAGCAACCUGCCCCUGACUCUGGGAUAAGCGCUGGAAACGGCGUCUAAUACUGGAUACGAGACGUGAUCGCAUGGUCAACGUUUGGAAAGAUUUUUCGGUUGGGGAUGGGCUCGCGGCCUAUCAGCUUGUUGGUGAGGUAAUGGCUCACCAAGGCGUCGACGGGUAGCCGGCCUGAGAGGGUGACCGGCCACACUGGGACUGAGACACGGCCCAGACUCCUACGGGAGGCAGCAGUGGGGAAUAUUGCACAAUGGGCGCAAGCCUGAUGCAGCAACGCCGCGUGAGGGAUGACGGCCUUCGGGUUGUAAACCUCUUUUAGCAGGGAAGAAGCGAGAGUGACGGUACCUGCAGAAAAAGCACCGGCUAACUACGU